rnacentral:tRNA from 1 species
GCCCGGCUAGCUCAAUCGGUAGAGCGUGAGACUCUUAUGAAGAUACUUCAGAAUCUCACGAGAUCAUCUCAAGGUUGUGGGUUCGACCCCCACGUCGGGCU